AGUAUAUCAGGUUAAUCGAAGAAAAAAGAGAUGGAGAAGAAGUGAAAACCUGAAGAAGGGAGUUAAAUGAGUCCUUGACAUGAUAUCCGAAACCUUCCGCAUCAAUGGCCUCGACAUCAGUUGGGAGGAUGGUAGUUCGAAGCAGCUCACGAGCAACCCGAUUAUUGAUCUCUGGUCCUGGCUCCCUGCCCAGAUUCCACAGAAGACUUUUGAGGUGUCGAGACCAGAGGAUCAGCUCGGCGAGGAGAUUCAUGAAAGAACCUCGAGGUGUUGUUGCACCUCCGAUAGAAAAUGAAGC
rnacentral:lncRNA from 1 species